UACGUAGGCAGCAAGCGUUGUUCGGAAUUACUGGGCGUAAAGAGUGUGUAGGCGGUGCUCUAAGUUCGGUGUGAAAUCUCCCGGCUUAACUGGGAGGGUGCGCCGGAAACUGGAGUGCUCGAGCGUGGGAGAGGAAAGCGGAAUUCCUGGUGUAGCGGUGAAAUGCGUAGAUAUCAGGAGGAACACCAAUUGCGAAGGCAGCUCGCUGGGACGUUACUGACGCUGAGACGCGAAAGCGUGGGGAGCAAACAGG
rnacentral:rRNA from 1 species